rnacentral:rRNA from 1 species
GACGAACGCUGGCGGCGUGCUUAACACAUGCAAGUCGAACGGAAAGGCCCUGCUUUUGUGGGGUGCUCGAGUGGCGAACGGGUGAGUAACACGUGAGUAACCUGCCCUUGACUUUGGGAUAACUUCAGGAAACUGGGGCUAAUACCGGAUAGGAGCUCCUGCUGCAUGGUGGGGGUUGGAAAGUUUCGGCGGUUGGGGAUGGACUCGCGGCUUAUCAGCUUGUUGGUGGGGUGGUGGCUUACCAAGGCUUUGACGGGUAGCCGGCCUGAGAGGGUGACCGGCCACAUUGGGACUGAGAUGCGGCCCGGACUCCUACGGGGGGCAGCAGUGGGGAAUAGUGCACGAUGGGCGGAAGCCGGAUGCAGCAACGCCGCGUGCGGGAUGACGGCCGUCGGGUUGUAAACCGCUUUCGCCUGUGACGAAGCGUGAGUGACGGUAAUGGGUAAAGAAGCACCGGCUAACUACGUG